GACGAACGCUGGCGGCGUGCCUAAUACAUGCAAGUCGAACGCAGUGGGGACGGGUGAGUAACACGUGGGUAACCUCCCAUCAGAGGGGAUAACACUUGGAAACAGGUGCUAAACCGAUACUGAUGGAUGGACUCGGGGUGCAUUAGCUAGUUGGUGGGGUAACGGCUAACCAAGGCGACGAUGCAUAGCUGACCUGAGAGGGUGAUAGGCCACACGGGUCCUGAGAAACGGCCCAGACGCCUACGGGAGGCAGCAGUAGGGAAUCUUCGGCAAUGGACGAAAGUCUGACCGAGCAACGCCGCGUGAGUGAAGAAGGUUUUCGGAUCGUAACGCUCUGUUGUUAGAGAAGCGUUAUCUAACCAGAAAGCAACGGCUAACUACGUGCCAGCAGCCGCGGUAAUAC
rnacentral:rRNA from 1 species